UUGAGUUCUGUUGAUAUGCAUCGAAGUUCGUAUCUCUUGUUUGUUUAUAUUGCUGUGGAGAUGAAUUCGAAGUGAGUCAUUGCGUACUCAUUAGCUGGAACAUCAAUUUUUCUCGGUGCAGUGUGGUAUGUGAGGAAAGUACGAAAUAUCAUGUUCCGACACCGGUUUAAUUCCUUCAACUCUACUGGGAUGGAUCUGUCGGAAGAGGACUCGAAUCGCUGUGCGGAUGUUUGUACCGAUCCUCUACGUGGAUAGCGGAAUUGACAGGAGGGCCAUUGAAGAACGCUUUGGUUAUGGUCCCCCCUUGCAACCUGCGAAAGGCAGUAAGCGAUGCAACGAGAAGUGAUUCUGAUGGCUGAUAAGCCCGCUUCCUAAAGAGUGUGGAAUGUUGUUUCAACGAUCAUUACGAAAGGAGCUCCUCAAUGUAAGCGGCAGAGAAAGUUUUGUUUCCAGACGCAUUCAUUGCGUCUGACUAACGAUUUGUCACAAUCCUCACUUUCGCAAGGGUAUUCUUUUUCAGGUGAAUUUGUCGAUUGAGCUUUUGAACAGUCAUUUUUUUCCCUGAUCGUCCAACGCUCGCAGCACCUGUCCUUGAAAAUACAUUCCUUUGGACUUUUGGAACUUUCAAAAAUUGAGUAUAUGUUCACCAAGAAGUUCAAGAUCAUGAACAAUAAGGCUUAACCAACAUGUCCUGGAAACAGGAGAUUGUCAAUGAAAUACCAGGUCUUCGUGAAGCUGCCACUGUUCUUGAGAAGUUGCAG